rnacentral:lncRNA from 1 species
GGGCCAUGAGGGUGGUAUGGUGAUCAGCUUGUAGGCAAGGACAUGUUAUUGCUUGGUGAAGAAUUGGCAACCUUGGAACCUAUGGACUAGUUCUUCAGCAUAAGUGAGAGCUGUAGGCCAAUAGAAUGUGCUCAGAAAGUUUUUCCCACGAUCAUUCUUGGUGAUGCGUGAUUGCCACAGAUGCCCUUGUGGAUCUCCUCUAAAAUAUCCUUGCCAUCUUGACAUGAGACGCACUUCAUGAGUACUCCUGAUGAUGCACCUCGUCUAUAGAUCUUGUCC